UCGGGUAUGGUGUAUCGGCUAGCAUCGCCCGCUUUCAUUGGUCCCUUCUACAGGGCAUCGGUUCCGGGCAGAGCCGGGUUCGACUCCCGGUACCGGAA
rnacentral:tRNA from 1 species